AUGAACGCUGGCGGCGUGCUUAACACAUGCAAGUCGAACGAUUAAGACGGCUUCGGCCGUGUAUAGAGUGGCGAACGGGUGAGUAACACGUGACCAACCUGCCCCGCGCUCCGGGACAACCGCUGGAAACGGCGGCUAAUACCGGAUGCUCCGGGGAGGCCCCAUGGCCUCCCCGGGAAAGCCCCGACGGCGCGGGAUGGGGUCGCGGCCCAUUAGGUAGACGGCGGGGUAACGGCCCACCGUGCCCGCGAUGGGUAGCCGGACUGAGAGGUCGACCGGCCACAUUGGGACUGAGAUACGGCCCAGACUCCUACGGGAGGCAGCAGUGGGGAAUUUUGCGCAAUGGGGGAAACCCUGACGCAGCAACGCCGCGUGCGGGACGAAGGCCUUCGGGUUGUAAACCGCUUUCAGCAGGGAAGAUUCAGACGGUACCUGCAGAAGAAGCUCCGGCUAACUACGUGCCAGCAGCCGCGGUAAUACGUAGGGGGCGAGCGUUAUCCGGAUUCAUUGGGCGUAAAGCGCGCGUAGGCGGCCGCCUAAGCGGAACCUCUAAUCCCGGGGCUCAACCUCGGGCCGGGUUCCGGACUGGGCGGCUCGAGUGCGGUAGAGGCAGGCGGAAUUCCCGGUGUAGCGGUGGAAUGCGCAGAUAUCGGGAAGAACACCGAUGGCGAAGGCAGCCUGCUGGGCCGCCACUGACGCUGAGGCGCGAAAGCUGGGGGAGCGAACAGGAUUAGAUACCCUGGUAGUCCCAGCCGUAAACGAUGGACGCUAGGUGUGGGGGGACCAUCCCCCCGUGCCGCAGCCAACGCAUUAAGCGUCCCGCCUGGGGAGUACGGCCGCAAGGCUAAAACUCAAAGGAAUUGACGGGGGCCCGCACAAGCGGUGGAGCAUGUGGUUUAAUUCGAAGCAACGCGAAGAACCUUACCUGAUCUUGACAUCCCGAUGACCGCUUCGUAAUGGAAGCUUUUCUUCGGAACAUCGGUGACAGGUGGUGCAUGGUUGUCGUCAGCUCGUGUCGUGAGAUGUUGGGUUAAGUCCCGCAACGAGCGCAACCCCCGUCCCGUGUUGCCAGCAUUGAGUUGGGGACUCGCGGGAGACUGCCGGCGUCAAGCCGGAGGAAGGUGGGGACGACGUCAAGUCAUCAUGCCCCUUAUGCCCUGGGCUGCACACGUGCUACAAUGGCCGGUACAGAGGGUUGCCACCCCGCGAGGGGGAGCGGAUCCCGGAAAGCCGGUCCCAGUUCGGAUCGCAGGCUGCAACCCGCCUGCGUGAAGUCGGAGUUGCUAGUAAUCGCGGAUCAGCAUGCCGCGGUGAAUACGUUCCCGGGCCUUGUACACACCGCCCGUCACACCACCCGAGUCGUCUGCACCCGAAGCCGCCGGCCGAACCCUUCUGGGGCGGAGGCGUCGAAGGUGUGGAGGGUAAGGGGGGUG
rnacentral:rRNA from 1 species